rnacentral:rRNA from 1 species
UACAGAGGGUGCGAGCGUUAAUCGGAAUUACUGGGCGUAAAGCGUGCGCAGGCGGUUUUGUAAGUCUGACGUGAAAUCCCCGGGCUUAACCUGGGAAUUGCGUUGGAGACUGCAAGGCUAGAAUCUGGCAGAGGGGGGUAGAAUUCCACGUGUAGCAGUGAAAUGCGUAGAGAUGUGGAGGAACACCGAUGGCGAAGGCAGCCCCCUGGGUCAAGAUUGACGCUCAUGCACGAAAGCGUGGGGAGCAAACAGG